CCUACGGGAGGCAGCAGUGAGGAAUAUUGGUCAAUGGACGCGAGUCUGAACCAGCCAAGUCGCGUGAAGGAUGACUGCCCUAUGGGUUGUAAACUUCUUUUAUAUGGGAAUAAAGUGUUCCACGUGUGGGAUUUUGUAUGUACCUUAUGAAUAAGGAUCGGCUAACUCCGUGCCAGCAGCCGCGGUAAUACGGAGGAUCCGAGCGUUAUCCGGAUUUAUUGGGUUUAAAGGGAGCGUAGGUGGAUUGUUAAGUCAGUUGUGAAAGUUUGCGGCUCAACCGUAAAAUUGCAGUUGAAACUGGCAGGCUUGAGUACAGUAGAGGUGGGCGGAAUUCGUGGUGUAGCGGUGAAAUGCUUAGAUAUCACGAAGAACUCCGAUUGCGAAGGCAGCUCACUGGACUGCAACUGACACUGAGGCUCGAAAGUGUGGGUAUCAAACAGGAUUAGAUACCCUAGUAGUC
rnacentral:rRNA from 1 species